UGUGAGCUAUAGCUAGCUGCAAGUAACCCAUUAUCUUCCAAUAAGCAUUAACUAAAACUGGCUACAUAAAAUAUACUGACUAGAUUCACGAGAGGUCGGCUAAUGUGUGUAAAAGUAAAAAAAAUACAGUAAUUUCAUUAUUUUACCAGCGAGCGUACUUCGGAAGCACUGAAAAUGAAUGGGGUUCAAUGCUGGAACUAUCAGUGUUUGGAACUAUUGGCUGCUCCACGACACGCGUUACUUCCGCAUUUUUAAGUUCCUAUGGCGGUCUAUGGGAGUGUCGCAACUCUCUCUCUCUAUGGCUCUGGACCACACUAUUGCAGGCAAAAGAAACAAUAUAUAGAUUUGUUUACUUGCAACCUGUGUCUUUGUUCAGUAAUCUUUGUCCUUGUUCAGUAAAUGUUUAGUAACCAUUACAAGCAAUGCCAAUAAACUGUUUUUUUUUU